UGGAGCACGGAUGAGGAUAUCGGGGCCACCUCCCACCCGUGUUGCCCGAACCUAUGUUGCCUCGGCGGGCCCCGCGCCCGCCGACGGCCCCCCUGAACGCUGUCUGAAGUUGCAGUCUGAGACCUAUAACGAAAUUAGUUAAAACUUUCAACAACGGAUCUCUUGGUUCCGGCAUCGAUGAAGAACGCAGCGAAAUGCGAUAACUAAUGUGAAUUGCAGAAUUCAGUGAAUCAUCGAGUCUUUGAACGCACAUUGCGCCCUCUGGUAUUCCGGAGGGCAUGCCUGUCCGAGCGUCAUUGCUGCCCUCAAGCCCGGCUUGUGUGUUGGGCCCCGUCCCCCCCGCCGGGGGGACGGGCCCGAAAGGCAGCGGCGGCACCGCGUCCGGUCCUCGAGCGUAUGGGGCUUCGUCACCCGCUCUAGUAGGCCCGGCCGGCGCCAGCCGACCCCCAACCUUUAAUUAUCUCAGGUUGACCUCGGAUCAGGUAGGGAUACCCGCUGAACUUAGGCAUAUCAAUAGAACGGAGGAAACCGAGUGCGG
rnacentral:rRNA from 1 species